GACGGAGGGGGCAAGCGUUGUCCGGACUCACUGGGCGUAAAGGGUGCGUAGGCGGGUCUUUUAAGUCAGGGGUGAAAUCCUGGAGCUCAACUCCAGAACUGCCUUUGAUACUGAAGAUCUUGAGUUCGGGAGAGGUGAGUGGAACUGCGAGUGUAGAGGUGAAAUUCGUAGAUAUUCGCAAGAACACCAGUGGCGAAGGCGGCUCACUGGCCCGAUACUGACGCUGAGGCACGAAAGCGUGGGGAGCAAACAGG
rnacentral:rRNA from 1 species